CCUGGAUUCAUAAGCCUGUCAAGUUCCUUCCACUGAAAGAAGCCUUCCCUUUCCAUCGACAAUAAUGUCCGGGUGUUGUGGCGGCGGUGGUGGCGA